GGUGGCACAGUGAGGAAUUCAUUUCGCUAAUGUAUCUAUGAGGUCCAAAGGCCAAUGACUCGAAAUGUCCUUUUCAUUCUGAGUGCCCA